AUUGAACGCUGGCGGCAGGCCUAACACAUGCAAGUCGAACGAGUGGCGGACGGGUGAGUAAUGGCUGGGAAACUGCCUGAUGGAGGGGGAUAACUACUGGAAACGGUAGCUAAUACCGCAUACCAUCGGAUGUGCCCAGAUGGGAGUAGCUAGUAGGUGGGGUAAAGGCUCACCUAGGCGACGAUCCCUAGCUGGUCUGAGAGGAUGACAGGCCACACUGGAACUGAGUCGCGGGCCAGCCUCCUACGGGAUGCAGCGGUGGGAAAUAUUGGACAUUGGGCGCAAGCCUGAUGCAGCCAUGCCGAGGGUAUGAAGAAGGCUUUCGGGUUUUAAUGUAUUUUCAGCGGGGAGGCGUUACCCGCAGAAGAAGCACCGGCUAACUCCGUGCCAGCAGCCGCGGUAAUUC
rnacentral:rRNA from 1 species